ACUUGAAUUUGGGUUUUUAACUUAGGUUUGGGUGGCGGACGGGUGAGUAACGCGUAAAGAACUUGCCUCACAGGUAGGGACAACAUUUGGAAACGAAUGCUAAUACCUAAUAUUAUGAUAAUAGGGCAUCCUAUAAUUAUGAGAGCUAUAAGCGCUGUGAGAGAGCUUUGCGUCCCAUUAGCUAGUUGGAGAGGUAACGGCUCACCAAGGCGAUGAUGGGUAGCCGGCCUGAGAGGGUGAUCGGCCACAAGGGGACUGAGACACGGCCCUUACUCCUACGGGAGGCAGCAGUGGGGAAUAUUGGACAAUGGACCAAGAGUCUGAUCCAGCAAUUCUGUGUGCACGAUGA
rnacentral:rRNA from 1 species